rnacentral:rRNA from 1 species
UACAGAGGUCUCAAGCGUUGUUCGGAUUCAUUGGGCGUAAAGGGUGCGUAGGCGGCGCGGUAAGUCGGGUGUGAAAUCUCGGAGCUUAACUCCGAAACUGCAUUCGAUACUGCCGUGCUUGAGGACUGGAGAGGAGACUGGAAUUUACGGUGUAGCGGUGAAAUGCGUAGAUAUCAAGAGGAACACCUGAGGUGAAGACGGGUUGCUGGGCCAACACUGACGCUGAGGCGCGAAAGCCAGGGGAGCAAACGGG